UAACUCUGGGCUUUCUUCAUUAUCGUACAAAUCUUUCGCCUUUUACUAAAGAUUUCCGUGGAGAAGGCCAAUUUAAUGAGUGUAUAAUUAUUUUUCGUAGGCUUGCUAACGCGAGCCA